GGUGGUGGCUCAGAGGUAGAGCACUUGCCUAGCAUGUGUGAGGCACUGGGUUCCAUCCCCAGCAUCA
rnacentral:tRNA from 1 species